AUUGAACGCUGGCGGCAUGCUUUACGCAUGCAAGUCGAACGGUAACAGGCCGCAAGGUGCUGACGAGUGGCGAACGGGUGAGUAAUGCAUCGGAACGUGCCCAGUCGUGGGGGAUACCGCAGCGAAAGCUGUGCUAAUACCGCAUACGAUCUAUGGAUGAAAGCGGGGGACCGUAAGGCCUCGCGCGAUUGGAGCGGCCGAUGUCAGAUUAGGUAGUUGGUGGGGUAAAGGCUCACCAAGCCAACGAUCUGUAGCUGGUCUGAGAGGACGACCAGCCACACUGGGACUGAGACACGGCCCAGACUCCCACGGGAGGCAGCAGUGGGGAAUUUUGGACAAUGGGCGCAAGCCUGAUCCAGCAAUGCCGCGUGCAGGAAGAAGGCCUUCGGGUUGUAAACUGCUUUUGUGCGGAACGAAAAGGUUUGGGUUAAUACCCUGGGCCGAUGACGGUACCGUAAGAAUAAGCACCGGCUAACUACGUGCCAGCCGCCGCUGUAA
rnacentral:rRNA from 1 species